rnacentral:tRNA from 1 species
GGGGAUUUAGCUCAGUGGUAGAGUGCUUGCCUAGCAAGCGCAAGGCCCUGGGUUCGGUUCCCAGCUCCU